GACGAACGCUGGCGGCGUGGAUUAGGCAUGCAAGUCGAACGGUAGGAUACCUUCGGGUAUCUGAGAGUGGCGAACGGGUGGGUAACACGUAGGUGAUCUACCCUCAAGAUUGGGACAACCCAGGGAAACUUGGGCUAAUACCGGAUGAAAGCAGCAGUGAUGUUGUUUGAAAGGUGGCGUAAGCUGCCGUUUGGGGAUGAGCCUGCGCUCUAUUAGUUAGUUGGCGGGGUAAAGGCCCACCAAGGCGAUGAUAGAUAGGCGGCCUUAACGGGUGGUCGCCCACACUGGGAUUGAGAUACGGCCCAGACUCCUACGGGAGGCAGCAGUCGAGAAUAGUCUACAAUGGCCGAAAGGCUGGAUAGUGCGACGCCGCGUGAACGAAGAAGCCCUUCGGGGUGUAAAGUUCUUUUAUAUGUGAGCAGUGCUUUCUAUGUGAACAGCAUGGGGAGAGAGAUAUUAGCAUAUGAAUAAGCAACGGCUAACUCCGUGCCAGCAGCCG
rnacentral:rRNA from 1 species